rnacentral:rRNA from 1 species
UACGUAGGGUGCGGGCGUAAUCGGAAUUACUGGGGCGUAAAGCGUGCGCAGGCGGCCUCUUAAGUCAGAUGUGAAAUCCCCCGGGCUUAACCUGGGAACUGCGUUUGAAACUGGGAGGCUAGAGUGUGGAAGAGGGGGGGUGGAAUUCCAGGUGUAGCAGUGAAAUGCGUAGAUAUGUGGAGGAACACCCGAUGGCGAAGGCAGCCCCCUGGGC